UCUUAAGUGCUAUUGCUAUUGCUUAUCCUGGGACCUUUAAUAGGCCCAACAUUAUUGUGCUCCAGGACUUCAAAUAGAUAUUGUCUAAAAAGCUACAUAGUUAAAUGGCCUAAAACUGAGUUCCAUAUUAAGGUUCGCUGCACCAAACAAUUCUCAUGUGUAGAGCCAUUAAAGUAAGUAUGCCGAUGUUGCUGCUCUUGGUUGCCUUCUAAAUUUCCCAUCCAUAGAAGUAUUAGUCUUCAUUCUCAUGCAGAAAUGGAUCAGAUAACUUACCAGGUCGGCAGACUAAGAUAGUACUCUCAUAAUGACAUUUUCAAGGAUGGAGAAGGAAGUUGUUUGUGUUUCUAUUUGGCUUUGACAUGUCAAGAGUAGCAUAAAGUGACCCAGUGUAUCAUGGGAAAUGAAAGUGACCAUGCUGGAAGGCCUCCGUGGAAGUAGCAGGAACCCAUCCACACGUAGGCCCUGCCAUUUCCUGCUACUUCCACAGAGACCUUCCAGCACGGUCACUUUCAUUUCCCAUGAAAUGAUCUUUGCCCAUUCACCUGCUAACGUAGCAAACUUCCAGCCAUCUCCUUUCUCAGCUGCUCUUAUUUCGUAAAUGUCUGUGGAUUAAAAAAUGGUGUCUUCAGGAAAGAGCUCUCUCGUCAUUUCCUGAAUCGACUUCCAUUGGAAUAUAGCAAGAAUUCUGAAUGCUGUUAAGAUUUACUGCUAUGAUUAGGCCUUAAGUUGCUCCACCCCACUGGUCCCUGAGCUACACCUUUUAAUAUGGAUUGAGUUGUACAUUUUAAUACAGAGUAAUACAUGAACAGAAAUCCUUCUGAAGCAGUUUUAUUUGGAGAAUCUUACUUUGCUUUAUUCAGUAGGAUACCGAGACAUCAAUGUAUCAAGUAUAAGAGCUCCAAUAGUUCUGAUUAGUUGACUCUUUAAAAAUCAACAUCUGAUUCAAUGGAAAUGAUUGGAAAAAUCACAGUCUAAUCCAUAAAUGAAUUGUGGUAGAAAACACAUAAAAGCAGCAGUAGAACAAUUUACACCUAUCUAUGGUAACUGGCUAUGUUAAAGGUUUUGUAUAACCAUCUACAUCAUCAAACUGACCAACAGAACCUGAAAAAAAUAACCAAAAUAUUGCAGUGUAGAUAUUGUAGAUGUUGAACUGUUGCUGAGUUCUAGCCAACUAUGAUGUCUAUCAAGCUAUUACAUUCUGUUUCUUUUCUUUCUCACUUUCUAUUAACCUGUGUAUGAUUUGGUAGGCACCAUGCAGUGUGCCAAGCUAAAUCAGUGGCAAAACCAGAUGGCUAGAAUAGGGCAAAUUUGGGUCAGGUAAGAACCAUCACAAAAAAAAUUGAAGAGUAUCUUUCAGCUUAUUGUGAACCCAUGGUAUCUGAUCAUAAACAUCUCUCAUUUAUUUAUUUCUUAGUAAAUUUCUAGUACCAACUUUCAUGGCAUCGUUUCAGCCCCAUCCUUUCGCACUUAGACUUCAUUGUAAAGGGAGCAUUCUCAUUUCUCAUAUGCAUGCUAAAGAUGAGAAAGCCUUUAUACAACCAUUUUUCUUCAUUCAAUUAAUGGAUCAAGCUAGAAAUACUUCUAUAAUGAACAGCUUUAUUAAAAUUUCAGGGCUGCCAAGAGAGUCAGAAAAUUCCUGAAAUGGUUCUGCUAAAUAAGACAAAGGGUUAGGAAUUAGAAGUUCUAUAUUUCUCAGAAAGCAGAGGUAGGAGGAAGAUUGCAGAGGGAAAUUGAACAAAGGGAGGAAGGGAUAGAAGUGACUCUUGCGGCGUCUUUCAAUUCUUGCAUGCAGCUGUAACCCCAUCCUAGCAACCUUACACAAUUCUGCAUUUAGCCAAAGUGUGUCCAGAAAGGCAGGCAUGUGGCCUUAGAAUAUAAUUUACAAGGAAGAACUGUGAGGUUAUGCCCUUGACAUAACAGUCCCCAAUUCUCCCAUACAGUAUUCUUUCCUAGAUUGUUUUGCUAUUCUAACAUGAAAUUGAGGUCAAAUAUCUACUGAUUUAAGUCUUGUCAUUUGAAUUCCCCAAGCAAUAUGGAACCUUGGAUAAACAUACUGUAUAUAAAUUCUAAACUUGCUUGACUCCAGUAAGAUUAGAGAAGUUCCUUAUUUGAAAAGGUAUUCUCUCACACUUCCAAAGGAAGUGAGCAAUUUAGUUACUUUCUCUGAAAAGCCAAGAGAUGGAGAUCCUGAGUUCACUCAAAUGCUUCCUAGAAGUCAGCCCAGCUGGAGAAGGGAUGGAAGUAGCAACAUCAUUAAUCUAUAUUGUUUUGAUUUUAAGACUCCUUAGGUCCUCUAAACCUUGUGAAGCUUAAAUUAUUAAGUACAACUUAUGCUAACCUAACAAU